CUUGCCUGCCAUGAGAAGAAAUUGCUCUUUCCAUAAAACUUGUUGAUCUCCAUCUUGAUUGAUCCUGUCUUCUCCAUCUUUAGUCUUGUUCACCACCGCUGCAAUCUACAUCCUUGUACCGCCUUACUCAGAUACCACUUGUAGGGUAGAUGUCUGGCCAGGAUACCAUCUCGUAAGAUCUUUUCGAUACCACAUGAUGCAGCAGGAAGAAAAAAGAAAUAAAAUAGAAAACAAUCAAAAUACGUGGAUCAGCCAAAAAAGGGCUCGCCUCCAUGGGGUAUGCAAACUUCACUAUGAGAAAGAAAUUUUACAAGAGGAGAUUUCACCCUCAACCCUCAUACACCCAAUUUUUCUCUCACAAAAAAUUUUCUCUCGCAAAAGCUCUCUCUCUCUUGGAAGAUCCCUCUGAACCCCUAAAGUGACUACUGUCUGCUGUCCAGAAGCCUCCUGCUCCUUCUCUCCACAGUGUCACGGUCUCUAUCUCUCUUCACGGGCUCGGGCUCUUCACUAUUGAAGGCUGUGUGCACUGCACAGGACCACCAGCCGAACCACACAAGGCCACACACCCCACUAUUCACUAUAUAGGCCUUUUUACAGGCUUAAACACUCAAUUAGGAAGUGAUUAGGAGCCCUAAACAAAGCCAAGUAUCCUUCCCAGCCGUUGG
rnacentral:lncRNA from 1 species